CCAGUCCGCUCGCCAUCAGUAACGUCUGCUGUCAGCCUCAACAAUUAUUGUCACAAUAUUUCCAAUCGGCAGAUGCAGACUGCUGCUGUCAUUCUGUGUGACAUGUGAAAUAUUGUGACAGUCAGGGAGGAACAGGAAAUAAACUGAUUGAAAUGAUUACUGCACAGCAAAACAGAUAUUUUCAUGGUUCUGGGCUGGCUUCUCCAGCCUUGGAGUGGAUCUGCAAAGAAAUCAAAACGGGAAUAUUUGAACUCUAAUCAUGAAUGCAAACCGAGCAGCUCUUCCGUCUCCUCCCUCUGCGGCUUUCUUCUAACGCUAGCUGACGUUUUGCCUCUUCUUCUUUUCUGCUGGCAGCAGUGAACCUGCUGGAUUUACAGCGUCCAACACUCCCACUUCAGCAGCAGUAACAUGAGCGCACUGGCCUUCAUAUGUUAUAUACUGACAGUACUCUGAGGCCUGGCACUCGUCUACAAGUGCAUAUGUUUACAGCAGAGGAGCAUAAGGCUGCCCCCUGUUGGUUAACCAUGUGAAGUUUCCACCUCAUGUUAGGAGACUGCAAUAAUUUCAUUUGUACAAAUGCAUGUGUGCUUUUACAUUGACCAUGUGUGCAUACAUCAGUGGGCAGUCCCAGGAGAAAGUUUUAUUUACGUUUUCCAUCUUUUUUUGCAGAAUUUGACACUUUUAAAAAUACAUUAAAGAAGUCAAGAGUAUAUGUGCACCUUUUUAGUUGACCUGUUCUAGUCAAGCUUUUAUUUGUUAUCAGGUUUGAUAAAAAUAAAAAAUAAAAUCAGGAUUAAAAUCACGAAAACUCAGUUUCUACAAAAGCUUGUAUGCUCUGUGAAAUGAAAACAAGAUUGAUUGUGGGUACUUUAAUCAUUUCAAGGCUAAAUCUGAGUGCAGAGUGUGCUUCGGCACUGUCUUGCUGAAAUGAGCAAGACUUUCAGUGACAAAGAAACGCUGCAGAUGUAUCGCUCCACAGACUGUGUACAUCAUUGAGCAUGCGCGGUGCCUUCACACGUGAGCCUGCAGUGAUGAGCGCUCACUGGCUCUCAGGCCACAGAAUGCAGCAUCUGUAAUUUCCAGAGAUGUUGUAAUUAGUCAGACCACAGGGAGUUUUUCAGUAAAUAAAGUGCUUCCAUUUCUGAAUCAUAUUUAUUUAUGUGUUUUCUAUGCAUGAGAGGUUUCAAACUUGCAUUUGUCGAUGGUUUCUGAGUGAGCUGUGUUCACUGCUGAGUGCUGCUCCUGAGCAUGUUCGUUAUUGGUUUUCAGCAUUUUCCUGUGCUUAAUGUUAUCUCACAUCUUAACUGUGUUGGUGAGUAGUUUAGGAACAUUUCACACAACGCUUAAUGCUUCUGCAUCUGCCUUUGCUGCAGAACGACUGUCGGCCAGCUUUGCUCUGGGUCAGUACGCCAUCAGGUUACUGACAUCACACAGAAAAACCUUCUGACGGUGCUAAUUACUACAAAAUGUUUGUGCACCGUUUCCAGUUGAACAUUUAUGAUUUUCGCAGAAAUCCAGUCAGCACAGGUCAGACGUCCUCUUCCUGAACCUUUCUUUUCGCCAUCCCCGUUGCCAUAGCAACGACCUCCCGACCUCAGCUGCGACAGUCUGAUGUGACAGGUGUCAAUCAAGCUCUCCGGCCGGGAGCGUGUCGUGCCCGUCGUUGCCCCACCCAGCGGCCGUGUUUGUUUCAGGCUCUGCAGACCUGCUGCUGCAGGUUUGUUUGCAGUCCUGCUGCUUUGUUGUCGUGCACGUGGGCUACAGCGUGACAGAUCUGGGUCUCUCUUGACGUACCGCUUGGCUGGCCGGGUGCAGAUUCCUGGCCGUUACCAGCAGAUAACAAAUACUUGGAGAGAGCGGAAUGGGAUGGGUGGCACCUGAGCUGGAUGCAAAGUUUCAUUAGCCAGGUGGAUGGAGUUUAUUAUUUUGCCUUUUGCACAUUUAUCCACACGCGUGUGAAGUUUAACCAUACUUGUAUUUGAGCCUACAUGCCUCAGCGUGCACGCGUGUGCGCCUUUGUCUGCCUGCUGCAGGCUCUCACCAUCAAAGCAGGCUAAUAUUAGCACCUCACAGAAGACUGGCUCUAUCUGGACACAAAGCAGGUGAUAAAUGAGGAUUGCUGCAUUGUGUGUGUGUGUUGCGUGUGCGCACGUACGCGAACGUGUCAACGGGGAGACUGUAAAAUAUGUAGCAUGAUUAUUUUUCACAACGGCCGGCUUACGGAGGUGGAUCGUGCUGCAGAUCCAGAUGCUCGGUUUUCUACUGCAGCUGCAUUGCGAAGCAGCAUGACGUGCCUUCCGCCAGACGGGAGAUUAGCCGGGCUGCAGAUGCAGUCGGUCGAUCGCUCGCAGAAGAAAAGCAAGAGGGCAGUGUGGUCUCGGGGAUUUUUCUUUUCUUCCUUUUUUUCCUCUCUCCUUCCCAGCCUCUCCGGGCCCCGUCGCUGAUUUGAGCCUGCAGCCAGCUGUAGGUCGCUGCUCUCCUUCGCUUCGCUCCAUCUGUCCCUCCCCCCAUCACCUCUCCUCUUUUUCUCCCUCCCUCCUCCCUCCCUCUCUCUCCCUCUCACUCUCUCUCCAUACCAAAGCCUGGGGGAGCCAGUGGAGAUUAAAUGUAGCCUGUAUAAGCCAAAGCACAUCAUGUAGCAAUGUUUCUAUGGCCCCUCUCGCUCUCUCUGAGAGGAUAGUGUGAAAGAGGUCGGCUGGUGUGAGGCGCAGAAUAAGACAGCAGACAGAAAGACGGGAAAAGUGGAUUUUUGUUGGUUUUUCUUUGCAUGCCAGCAAAAGAGGGGAUUUGUUUUCUGUUUGGAAAAUGGACAGCAGCGAGGUGGGAGAAAAAAAGGGGAAAAGGACGACUUUCUCUUGCCCCUACCUCACCCCCGCCCCCCACCCCCUUACCCCGUCUGAUACAGAGGAAAAGUGGGCCUCUGGCUGUAAGCGAUUACAGCUGUGAGGCAAAUUAAUGGAUGAUCUCUCCCUCUCUCCUCGUUCUCCUUCGAUCAGCACGGGCAGGAGAAAGAAAAAGACUGAGGGAGACGCUCUGGGAAGGAAGAGAAGGGAGAGGGAGGUAUGCUUUUUCUUUUUCUCCUGUCUUCCCUCCUUUCCACCUCUGCAUGUGAUUGGAAAGAUAAAGCGGAGCGAGACAAGAGAUCAGCAGGCACAUUGGUUUUUGUCCCUUAACUUGGGUGUGCGUGCACGUCCUCCCCCUUUGUCGCCAACCUGCGCCUGGGACCUGCAGGUUUGGAUACAAAGCAGUGAGCUCGGAGAGCAGCGAGCGAUUGGGGCAUCCUGGAUCCAAAGGGGAGGCAGAAAAUCCUGCAGGAUCUGCAGUGGAUGUGGAUCUGCAGGAUGUACGCGCCGACCUGGACGAGGCACCUUCGACUUUCUGUUCAAACUGAACAGGUGUCCUCUGACGUGUGUUCAUGAAGAACAUUCAGAGCUGCGAUCCUUCUUUGGCGUCUGUUACCUUCAAUGUGAAAUAGAGGGCGCGAUUUAAAGCUUAAAACUCUGUCCCAGUGCGUACUGGAGCUGUCUGAGGUGCAAUAAACUUCCAUCUAAUUCCUGUCUCAGUGAACUUUCUUGGUAUUGUAGCUGCAUGCUGCUCUGCUCAUCUGUGGUGGCUGUGAUGCUUUUGUUGUAGCCUUCACAAUGUGCUUCCAGUGGAAACGAAGCGAAGAGCAGAAUUUGUAUCAUGUGUGAAUUUCCUGUUAGAUCAUUUAACAAAGCCGGCGUUUUUUUAUAACCGACACGAUACUGAAACAUGCUGCUUCUCAGAUUUAAGCCAAGCUACUGAACAGCACUGCAGCUCGACAUACUGUACAGAGCCUGUUACGACCUGCCCAGCAGUCUCGUGUGACUCAAUUCACCAUUUUUUCUCCAAACCCAGUUUUCCGACUGGUUAAUGUGCUCCAUUAAUCCACACACACGUGUGUUUUUGGAUAUUUCCAGAUGAUCCAGUUGUGCUAUUUUUAGAUAUUAUAUUCUGAUGUAAACUCCUGUGUUAUCUCAGUUUGUGGAAUUAUUUGUUUAUUUCAAACCGACGCCACGUUUGUUCAUAUAGAUAUUUCAGUUUCUUCUGAAUAAAUAUAGAAGUUUUUUCCUUCUUAUGUGUCUAAAUAAAACCUCACUGCUGUCAUUUCACGUGAUUGUCAAUUCUUUCAACUCUUACACUUAUUAAUAGAAGCUCUGUGUGAAGCGUGAGAUUUGACCAUCUAACGUGUUUUUAUUUCAUCUUUGGGAGUAUUUUUAUACUCUUUUUUUCAUAGAUCUAUUAAAGCUCCGACUGUUGUUUUUGUUUCUGUGAGUUAUGGAGACGUGUUACAGGAUCUUCUUAAAAACAAUAAAUUAGAUAAGACAGCUGACGAGGACGAUGUCAGUCUUCUUUCAGCUCUGUCCAUAUGUCUUUAAAUGAGACAUUUUUAUAUUGUUGUGAAACAUGAGUCUGUUUCUGACUGGACCUACAUUAAUGUUUGGAUGGUUUAUUAAAAGUGUGCAGAUAUCAAUAAGUGUUUUUUUUCUUGCUUUUAGAGGAAAAUCAGCACAUUCUUGGUUUCAGUGUAGCGGUUGUAUUUUACAUGCGGUGCUCGGCCUUCGUUGUGUAACAGCUUCUAAAUGACUUUGUCUCUCUCUCUCUUGCAGCCUUUUAGACCAGGUCAGGACAUGUCGGGGAACAGUUGAUGAACAUGAGACGCAUAUAACAACCAGCUGCCCACACACCGUGUAGACAUCUUUGUUUUAUAUCUUAUAGUUUGACCAGGACAUGUGUGUGAUCUGUGACAGUAGCAGCUGCUUUUUAAUGCUUCACAUGUCUCUGUAAUAUAAACAUGUAAAUAAAGUAUUAAUGAAAUGUC